CACUUAAGCCCAUUGAUCAUUUUCUUUCCAAAUUUCUCCUCUUUGAAUGGAAGACCUGUGGGAACGAUAUUGAAAUUAUAGCCAACUCUUCUUGGGCCUUAGAUUUCUCAUCUAAAAAAUGAGAUGGACACAGUCUCUGCCCUGGAGAAGAUCUAAAUCCUAUGGCUCUAUGAGGCCCAGAGAAGUCAAAUGAUUUCCCAAAUACCAUUCAGCUCUUGGACACAAAAGAUCACGGAAGUACAGAAGAUUAGAGUUGAAAGGAAAUCCAAACCACCCAAGAAAAGGAAUCUCUACUCUAACAUGCAGACUCUCAAGGACAACUCGCUUUCCUAACAUUCAAAUCAGCCUCCCGAGGGCUGUACCGAGAUUGCGUUUCCCCUCUGAUCUCCAGCUCCCAGGAGGACGAAUGACCCAGCUGCCGCCCUCCCCUCACAGCGCAGCUUCGGGGACCCUACUCCUGGCUUAGGAGAGGCGGCAGAAACACAUACCUGUUUCUGAGAAAGGGGAGCUUUUUACGAGCAAAUAAAUCAUCUUCUUUUUC